AAAUUUUUUUUGUGAUAAGAGUCAUUUUUUUAAAGAUUUUAUUUAUUUAUUAGAGAGAAAGAGUGAGCAUGAGUGGGAGGAGGGGCAUUGGGAGAAGCAGACUCCCCACUGAGCAAGGGGCCUGACAUGGAACUUAAUCCCAGGACCCUGGGAUCAUGACCUGAGCCAAAGGCAGAUGCUUAACUGAUUGAGCCACCCAGGUGCACCAAGAACUUUUAAGAUCAACUCUCUUAGUAACUUUUAGAUAUGCAAUACAGUCACCAUAGUGUACAUUACAUCCUCAUGAUUUAUUUAUUUUGUAACUGGAUGUCUGUACCUUUGACCCUCUUCACCCAUUCUGGCUCUUUUUCUUCCCCUUCUCUGCACUCUUACCCCAUGAGCCCAGCAGCCUAUGGUCUGAAGCAACACUAUCCAGUAGAGAUAUUAUGUAACCCCCAAUUUAAGGCCCUGACUGCCCAAAUCCUGCAGGAGAGGUCAUGGAGACCAGAAGUUGCAUGUUCAGUCCCUGAGCCCUGCAGGGCUAGAAGUGGUGUGCAACCCCUAAGCACACUGUCGGAGAGUAAUCUGGACCAACAGAGGAAGCACCAGAUAUGGGCCAGGAAGCCUGGGUUGAGGCUGUGCUCCUGCCUCUAAGGAAAUGUGUGCCUGGGACCUGCUUACCUGACGAUGCAGCAACUCUGAGCUCCAGCUUGUCUGUACCUCCUUUCCUCCCUCCUUUCCUUACAGACUUAUUACAAGGCUACAAAAACCAUGUUAUAAGGAGUGUCAAGAACUUUUGUAAAUGGACCAUGAAAAAGAGAUUUAAAGAGGUUCACCUGCCUUUCUGUACCAAAGGUUAAAACUCAAGAAGGUCUGUCUUUUUUUCUCCAACACUGUUUGACACAAUAGUCUGUUUGAUGCCUCCACUUAAAAAUCGGACACAAAAUCUUUAUGAGGACUUAUCACCUUCUCCUUCUCCCUCUCCAUUUUUGCUUACCUCUUAAGGCUCACCCCCUUGAAUAAAGUCUUUUUUUUUAUACUCA
rnacentral:lncRNA from 1 species